GGCAGGAACAGGGAUCCUGGGAGCCUGCCAAGCAGAGCGCACAGUGUUCCUGGAGUCUCGCUGCCCAGAUGCCACGGAAUCAGUUGAAGGUUUGAGGUGCUAAUUCAGGAGCUUAAGAUGCUAAAGAGCUGGGAGCGCCACUGCUGCUUUAUUCUCUGGUCCAGGAUCCUUGUGUUGCUGGAGAUAAUCCAUUAUCGUGGGUGCAGCAGACACCCUGCGGCUUGUGGACUCGGACGUGGCAGCUGGUUGGACGAGGGGAGCUGGUGGGCAGGGUUUGAUCCCAGGGCCUGGGCAACGGAGGUGUAGCUGGCAGCAGCGGGCAGCCAGGUCUCCAGCUGGGGUGGACGUGCCCACCAGCUGCCGAAGGCCAAGACGCCAGGUCCGGUGGACGUGACAAGCAGGACAUGACAUGGUCCGGUGUGACGGCGAGGACAGAGGAGGCGCGUCCGGCCUUCCUGAACACCUUAGGCUGGUGGGGCUGCGGCAAGAAGCGGGUCUGUUUCUUUACUUCCUCCACGGAGUCGGCACACUAUGGCUGCCCUCUGGGCUCCCAGAACCCACAACAUGAAAGAAAUGGUGCUACCCAGCUCAAGCCUGGGCCUUUGAAUCCGGACACAAAACCCUCUAGCUUGGAAAUGAAUAUGCUGCACUUUACAACCACUGCACUACCUGACUCAGGAAUCGGCUCUGGAAGGUGAAGCUAGAGGAACCAGACCUCAUCAGCCCAACAUCAAAGACACCAUCGGAACAGCAGCGCCCGCAGCACCCACCCCGCACCGGCGACUCCAUCUUCAUGGCCACCCCCUGCGGCGGACGGUUGACCACCAGCCACCACAUCAUCCCAGAGCUGAGCUCCUCCAGCGGGAUGACGCCGUCCCCACCACCUCCCUCUUCUUCUUUUUCAUCCUUCUGUCUCUUUGUUUCUGAGCUUUCCUGUCUUUCCUUUUUUCUGAGAGAUUCAAAGCCUCCACGACUCUGUUUCCCCCGUCCCUUCUGAAUUUAAUUUGCACUAAGUCAUUUGCACUGGUUGGAGUUGUGGAGACGGCCUUGAGUCUCAGUACGAGUGUGCGUGAGUGUGAGCCACCUUGGCAAGUGCCUGUGCAGGGCCCGGCCGCCCUCCAUCUGGGCCGGGUGACUGGGCGCCGGCUGUGUGCCCGAGGCCUCACCCUGCCCUCGCCUAGUCUGGAAGCUCCGACCGACAUCACGGAGCAGCCUUCAAGCAUUCCAUUACGCCCCAUCUCGCUCUGUGCCCCUCCCCACCAGGGCUUCAGCAGGAGCCCUGGACUCAUCAUCAAUAAACACUGUUACAGCAA
ensembl:lncRNA H19 H19 imprinted maternally expressed transcript